rnacentral:lncRNA from 1 species
CUCCGUUGGGCCAAAGUUUUAGAAACAACAGGGUUGCAUUCCAAAUGUAACCCUAUUCUCUAUAUGGUGCACUACUUUUGACCAGAGCCCCAUAGGGAAUAGGCUGUUAUUUGGGACGCAGCCUUAGAAAUAACAGGCUUCGGAAACAAGGCAGACUUCAUUAAGGCCUCAGUCCACGGCCAUGUACCUCAACCACACAUCCUCGUUCUACUGCGGAGUCAACACCUACCUGAAGCUAUGUGCUUCAUCCAAAGUAAUUCUCUUGGUCCCCGGCUUCGGUCUCAACAUCUUUAUCCUGACCUCGCUGAUCUCCUGCCUGCUCAGCCGACGCAGUAAGAUACGGAGCAACGUGGCCGUCUUCAUCCUUGGCAGCACCACCUGUAACCUGGUCAACCUCAGCCUUUGGCCCCUGAUUAUCCACUGGAGGACCCAUGGACGUUGGGCUCUGGGCGAGGGACUCUGUGAGGUCAUGGUUAGUGCCAAGCAACUGACUUCCUCAGCUUCCUACCACUACGUCUCCUUCAUCUCCUUCUCCAUCUACCUGACGGUGGUGUGUGACUGUGGUCGUCUGGUGAACAGCAGGGCGCUCCUGGCUCUGGAGCUGCUCUUCCCCCUCCUCCCUGUGGGGUUGAAGGAGCUGAUCCAGUGGGUCCUAGGGAGCAGGGUGGAACACCUGGACCCCGUCAACCACACAUGCUUCUCCUAUAUCAAUGAUAGAGUCAUGAGGGUUCUCAUGCUGGUCAAGAUCGCAGUGUUCCUGCCGUUGAACCUCUAUUUCUACGCUCAUGUGCUGCAUACGAUUUUCAAGAGCGCCAAGGUGAUGCACCGGAGCCAGGCAGUCAAUAAGAAACUGGCCAAGGUGUUUAGUGUCAUAUCUCUGAUUACGCUACUGGCACAUCUUCCUGGUGGGAUAUUCACUCUGAUGAAGGAACCCACAGUGUGCCAGGAGAUGGUGGAAGAGUUUCUGCUGGACCUUCCUCUCUUCUCCAGCCCCAUCGUACUGCUAUGUAUGAAUAAAGAGCUGCAGACCCACUGUGUAACACUGCUGAAGCGUAAACCUGUGUCCUGCAGCAGGAAAGACAAGACAGGGAUCAAGACUGAUGAGCAACACAAGAGUUUGACCAUUGGAGAAACAGGGGUUACCAGUGAGUCUGGUAUGUGAGGAAUUGGUAUUUUUUUCUUCCAAAUGUACUUAAUAAAAAAUAAUAUGAAG